rnacentral:rRNA from 1 species
GAUCCUGGCUCAGGACGAACGCUGGCGGCGUGCCUAACACAUGCAAGUCGAGCGAUGAAGUUUCCUUCGGGAAAUGGAUUAGCGGCGGACGGGUGAGUAACACGUGGGUAACCUGCCUCAUAGAGGGGAAUAGCCUUCCGAAAGGAAGAUUAAUACCGCAUAACAUUGCGGUUUCGCAUGAAACAGCAAUUAAAGGAGCAAUCCGCUAUGAGAUGGACCCGCGGCGCAUUAGCUAGUUGGUAAGGUAA